UGAUGCUAUAAAACGAGUGUCACGGCC
rnacentral:piRNA from 1 species